CAAUAGCGUAUAUUAAAGUUGUUGCAGUUAAAAAGCUCGUAGUUGGAUCUGUGGCGUACGGUGGGCUCCGGGCACUUGUUGUCUGAGUAGCUUGCCGUUGCCAUCCUUGGGUGGAACCUGUGUGGCAUUAGGUUGUCGUGCAGGGGAUGCCCAUCGUUUACUGUGAAAAAAUUAGAGUGUUCAAAGCAGGCUUAUGCCGUUGAAUAUAUUAGCAUGGAAUAAUGAGAUAGGACUUUUUCGCUAUUUUGUUGGUUUGCGCGAAGAGGUAAUGAUUAAUAGGGACAGUUGGGGGUAUUCGUAUUCCAUUGUCAGAGGUGAAAUUCUUGGAUUUUUGGAAGACGAACUACUGCGAAAGCAUUUACCAAGGAUGUUUUCAUUA
rnacentral:rRNA from 1 species